AAAAGAGAAAGAACAACAACAACAAAAAAAGCAGUAAUACUGGGUGGUUGAUUUGUUUUUAGCAGACUUGGCUUCAUUUUUGUCUUUACAAAAUGGCCAGCAUAAAUGCUGUUUAUAUUCACGUUUUCCUAGGUGUGUGUGUGCAGGCCACAGCAGCAUGCCCUUGGUGUAGUCAGUGCCGAAGGGGGCCUGUUCCUUCUUGAGCCUGCCCGCAGGGAUGGUCUCCUCUUUUAAAGCAGGUUGUGUACAACUUUCAGUACACUGAAGGCAUAAACCUUCCACUCUUGAACAAAGCAGCUGCUUUUUAAAAGCGAGAAAAAGGGAAGCGAGGCACAGGCCACUCAACGCCUACUCCAUGGGUCUGAUUUGCUGAGACACCAACUUCACCUUCCUAACAAGGUGCAGCUCACAGGAAGAUGAUGGCUACCAGAAGACAUGACCAAAGGGUAAGUGGCAGUAAACCUCUGAAGAACUUUUAUGUGUCUCUGAGCAGAGCAGGCUGUGGUGCCACCAGCAAUAGAGCUAUAAGCUGCAGUAUGUGUGGAGCUGUAACAUGGACAGAGGAUGCUGGGAAUUGGCAAGUGCUUGAAGUUAAU